rnacentral:rRNA from 1 species
GAUGAACGCUGGCGGCGUGCUUAACACAUGCAAGUCGAACGAUGAAGCCCAGCUUGCUGGGUGGAUUAGUGGCGAACGGGUGAGUAACACGUGAGUAACCUGCCCUUGACUCUGGGAUAAGCCCGGGAAACUGGGUCUAAUACCGGAUAGGAGCGCCUGUCGCAUGACGGGUGCUGGAAAGAUUUUUCGGUCAUGGAUGGACUCGCGGCCUAUCAGCUUGUUGGUGAGGUAAUGGCUCACCAAGGCGACGACGGGUAGCCGGCCUGAGAGGGUGACCGGCCACACUGGGACUGAGACACGGCCCAGACUCCUACGGGAGGCAGCAGUGGGGAAUAUUGCACAAUGGGCGGAAGCCUGAUGCAGCGACGCCGCGUGAGGGAUGACGGCCUUCGGGUUGUAAACCUCUUUCAGUAGGGAGGAAGCGGAAGUGACGGUACCUGCAGAAGAAGCACCGGCUAACUACGUG